rnacentral:sRNA from 1 species
UUUUGAAAUAACAUUUAACAUUUCUACUAAUCGUCACACAUGUUGAACAUCGUACUCAGUUUAUUCUUUUUAGAUCAGAUGUAUUCUCUGAAAGACAUUUUUUUUAUUCUAGGCACAAAUCAUGUUAUCGGGAUGUCGGAUGUUACACUAUCUGAUAUUUAUAACAGUUAUUUCCAAAUCAGAACCUUAUACAUGGUUUGAAGCACAAGCAAUAUGUAGGGAAAAGAAUCAGUCUCUGACGUUGAGAAACAAUGAAUCAACAGGUUUUUACUGGACAGGAUUUUAUAAGAAAAUAUCACUCUGGAUCAAAAUCAUAGGUUGCUACAGUGAAACAGCUAUAUGUAUGCAACAUGGUGGGAUGGACAUUUUUCAAUUAUCAAAACCUUCUCCACCACUUUGUCAAGAACACUGCUACCAGAAAAGUGUUUCUGUAUUUGCCGUGCAAGCACGGAAAUGCAUUUGCUUAUCUAAGAGUUUCGAUUACACUAAAAACCAACUAAAUGCAUCAAGUUGCGUGUAUACAUGUGACGAAAUGGAUUUCCUGUCAACAGAAUGUGGGGGAGAGUCAGCAUUCAACGUCUUCCUAACAGAUAUUUCGAAUUUGAGUGUAACCAGCAGAUGUCUUUCUCUUGAAUGUGGAGUAUAUCCGAUGUUUAGGGAGUAUCAUUGCUCAGCAAGUUUACGUACAAUAUGCAGUGCAUCAGCUAAAAGGUCGGACUCAGAAACUUGGAAGACAGGUAAGCAAUACUGUAAGGACCAAGGGACCUAUCCAAAGGGAAACAUUAGCCUAUCAGACAUCACACGGACUUGUGCAGAAACAAAAGGCAUUGGGUCGGCUCCGCAUUGGGUUGGAGUAGUUAAAGAAAUGUAUCAAAAGGAAGACCAAGGUCAAUUGAUCACAACAGCUGAGCAGACAUCCAUAAAACAAUGCAUGAAAUGUCUUUUUGAUGAAAGUUCUCCACUACCUGAUUGUCAAUAUGUAUAUUGCGAUCUCAACUUAACCACUGCUGUUUCUUGUUCAAAGGAAGAAAAGACAACACAACAACCACAAGAUAUUGAUUUCAAUUAUUCGGAAACAACAAGAAGAAUGUUUUCAACCUCAAUGGAUGGAACCACGUGGAAUACUUCUCUUGAUAUAAAAAAAAUAACCGGAAGCAAAGAAAGUGCUAUUAUAGUAGUCCCCGUUGUUAUCGUCAUAUUACUGCUGGCCUUGUUAGCUUGUGCGAUCCUGCUGUACAUGUAUGUCAGAAAAAGGAAAAAUAUGCAAGAAAAGGACAAACCACGAGGAAGAAGCACCUUAACUAUUGGGUCUACAAAAUACUCCAACGUACAAAAUCAUACCGACCAAAAUGUGGUUGUCCUUCAGCAGUCCAACCCCUCAUAUGAACUGGCAGGUCAUAUAUCUGUUGCGUCUGAAAGUCCUUACACCGAGGCAGAGGAUGGCACCUAUGAUCUCCUUGGAAACAAAGAGGCUAGAAAAGCACAUGCUGAGGAUAUUUAUAACCAAGCAUCGUGCAAUGAGUUGUCAGACCUGUCUGAUUAUGACGUAGCAAAUCACAAACGUUUGAAUGCGGAAGACGAUACGUACGGUCAUUCUGGUGUUAGAGAUAAUUCAUACGGCCAUUUUGAUUUGACUCAGAUCAAGGAAACUGUUUAUUCUGAGUUGUCCUAAUACAGAUUAUAAACAUUCAAAUAAUGUUCAUUAAAAAGGGUGUUUAGAAACAGUCUGGAAAGGUGUUUUCGGAAUUUAUUUUCUCAAAUUGUACUUUUAAACAAGAGAUAUGUAUGCAUCCGUAUAUUUUUAUUACUGUUUCAUUUAUAUGGUAUUCCAUACUAGCAUAAAUAUAUUUAAUGAUGUCUACAUGUAUCGAAACAAUUUAAAAUCAAAUGCAUUUUCAUUAAUAUUUAAUGUUAACUUUGUUUCUAAUGUUUCUACUAUGUUGCAAAACCUACAGAUCUGGCGUACCUCCAGAUCCGGUGCUGCAAAGGAUUUUUAAAGAUAAUGAAUCAAAUUGUUUCUUGACUUUUGAAUUCCUAAAUCAUGAGACAAGUAUUCUUCCUGAUACCUAUAUUAUGUAACAUCAUUUGAAAGAGGAAGUGAAUGAUUUAAGGACACCCGCUACGUUUGUCAGUUUCGGAUAACUUAUCUAAAUAUGUUACUUAUUCUUUCAAAAACUAACGAAAUUCGAUAUUGGACAGUCGAAAGCAGAAUUAUUCUUUUCGCUUAUCUUAAAUUCAAGCCAUAAUGCACCCAAU